AAAAAUAGAUUUAUAUAUAUAAGUAUUUAUAAAAAAAGUAUUUUUUAUAGAAGUAUUGGUUAGAAAUUAAAAUUUUUAUUAUAGUUAAUUAGUAUAGAGAUAGGUUAUAUAAAUAAAUGGAGGUUUAUUUAUUUAAAAGAAAAAUUAAUUUUUUGUACCUUGUGUAUCAGGGUUUAUUAAAAUAUGUUAAUUAUUUAAUUUUCUCGAAUUAUAAAGAGCUAAUAUAAUAUAAAUUUAAUUGUGGCAUAAAUUUUUAUAAUAUUAUAUUAGAAAUGAAACGUUAUACGUUUUUUAAGAUAUCUAGUUUCUUAAGAAAUAAAUUUAAUUUAGUUUUUAUAUUAAAUAGAGUUAAUUUAUUAGUGAUAUUUAUAUAAAAAGUAAUAUUUUAGGGGAUAAGCUUUAAAAUAAAGUAUUAAAAAUAAUAUAUUUUGAAUAAAAAUUAGUAGGAUUGGAAGUGUUUAUCUUUAGUUUGUUAUAAAUAAUUUUUAUUAGGAUAAGAUUUAUAUAGUUUUUAAAUUUUUUAUUAAGAUAAUAUAUAUAAUUGUAUUUUAUAAGUAAUAAUGAUAAAAUUAGUAUAUGAUUUAAUGUAUAAUUUAAUUGUAGAGUCAAGGUUGAAUUAAGGAACUCGGCAAAUGGAUUUUCCGCCUGUUUAUUAAAAACAUGUCUUUUUGAUUAUAAUUUAAAGUCUGACCUGCCCAAUGAGGAGUUGAAUGGCCGCGGUAAUUUGACCGUGCAAAGGUAGCAUAAUCAUUAGUUUUUUAAUUGAAAGCUGGAAUGAACGGUUGGACGAGAAAAUAACUGUCUCAAUUUAAUUGAAUGUAGAAUUUUAUUUAUAAGUAAAAAAGCUUAUAUGUAUUUAAAAGACGAGAAGACCCUAUAGAGUUUUAUAAUUUUUUAUAUUAAAGAAUUUUAGUAUGUUUAUAUUUUUGAUAUAAAAAAUUAUUUUGCUGGGGCAGCAGAAAAAUUAAAUAAACUUUUUUUUAUAUUUUUACAUUGAUUUAUGGUUUAAUGAUCCAUUUUUUAUGAUUAUAAGAUUAAAUUACCUUAGGGAUAACAGCGUAAUUUUUUUUUAGAGUUCUUAUCGAAAAAAGAGUUUGCGACCUCGAUGUUGGAUUAAAAUUAACUUUUGGUGUAGGGGCUAAAAGGUUAGGUCUGUUCGACCUUUAAAAUUUUACAUGAUCUGAGUUUAAACCGGCGUGAGCCAGGUUGGUUUCUAUCUUUAAAAAAUUUGGAUACCUUAGUACGAAAGGAUCAGGUAUUCUUAAUAAUUAAUAUAGUUUGAAUAGGAAUA
rnacentral:rRNA from 1 species